UACGGGAGGCAGCAGUAGGGAAUCUUCCGCAAUGGGCGAAAGCCUGACGGAGCAAUGCCGCGUGAGUGAUGAAGGUUUUCGGAUCGUAAAGCUCUGUUGCCAGGGAAGAACGCUUGGGAGAGUAACUGCUCUCAAGGUGACGGUACCUGAGAAGAAAGCCCCGGCUAACUACGUGCCAGCAGCCGCGGUAAU
rnacentral:rRNA from 1 species